UACGAAGGGGGCUAGCGUUGCUCGGAAUCACUGGGCGUAAAGCGCACGUAGGCGGACUCUUAAGUCGGGGGUGAAAUCCUGGAGCUCAACUCCAGAACUGCCUUCGAUACUGGGAGUCUUCGAGUUCGGGAGAGGUGAGUGGAACUGCGAGUGUAGAGGUGAAAUUCGUAGAUAUUCGCAAGAACACCAGUGGCGAAGGCGACUUACUGGCAUCUUACUGACACUCAGACGCGAAAGCAUGGGUAGCGAACGGG
rnacentral:rRNA from 1 species